CAGCCGCCGCGGUAACACCGGCGGCUCGAGUGGUAACCGUUAUUAUUGGGUCUAAAGGGUCUGUAGCCGGCCGGAUAAGUCUCUUGGGAAAUCUGGCAGCUUAACUGUCAGGCUUUCAGGGGAUACUGUCUGGCUCGAGGCCGGGAGAGGUGAGAGGUACUUCAGGGGUAGGGGUGAAAUCUUGUAAUCCUUGAAGGACCACCAGUGGCGAAGGCGUCUCACCAGAACGGACCUGACGGCAAGGGACGAAAGCUAGGGGCACGAACCGGAUUAGAUACCCGGGUAGUCCUAGCCGUAAACGAUACUCGCUAGGUGUCGGCCACGGUGCGACCGUUGUCGGUGCCGUAGGGAAGCCGUGAAGCGAGCCACCUGGGAAGUACGGCCGCAAGGCUGAAACUUAAAGGAAUUGGCGGGGGAGCACAACAACGGGUGGAGCUUGCGGUUUAAUUGGAUUCAACGCCGGAAAUCUUACCGGGACCGACAGCAACAUGAAGGCCAAGCUGAAGACUUUGCCGGAUUAGCUGAGAGGUGGUGCAUGGCC
rnacentral:rRNA from 1 species